UCGGGAAUUUUGGGCAAUGGGCGAAACCCUGACCCAGCAACGCCGCGUGAAGGAUGAAGUAUUUCGGUAUGUAAACUUCGAAAGAAUAGGAAGAAUAAAUGACGGUACUAUUUAUAAGGUCCGGCUAACUACGUGCCAGCAGCCGCGGUAAUACGUAGGGACCAAGCGUUGUUCGGAUUUACUGGGCGUAAAGGGCGCGUAGGCGGCAUGACAAGUCACUUGUGAAAUCUCUGGGCUUAACCCAGAACGGCCAAGUGAUACUGUCGCGCUAGAGUGCAGAAGGGGCAAUCGGAAUUCUUGGUGUAGCGGUGAAAUGCGUAGAUAUCAAGAGGAACACCUGAGGUGAAGACGGGUUGCUGGGCUGACACUGACGCUGAGGCGCGAAAGCCAGGGGAGCAAACGGGAUUAGAUACCCCAGUAGUCCCUGAGCGGGCUGGCAAGGCGCAU
rnacentral:rRNA from 1 species